UACAGAGGUCUCAAGCGUUGUUCGGAUUCAUUGGGCGUAAAGGGUGCGUAGGCGGCGCGGUAAGUCGGGUGUGAAAUCUCGGGGCUUAACUCCGAAACUGCAUUCGAUACUACCGUGCUUGAGGACUGGAGAGGAGACUGGAAUUUACGGUGUAGCGGUGAAAUGCGUAGAUAUCGUAAGGAAGACCAGUGGCGAAGGCGGGUCUCUGGACAGUUCCUGACGCUGAGGCACGAAGGUCAGGGGAGCAAACGGG
rnacentral:rRNA from 1 species